rnacentral:rRNA from 1 species
UACGAAGGGUGCAAGCGUUACUCGGAAUUACUGGGCGUAAAGCGUGCGUAGGUGGUUUGUUAAGUCUGUUGUGAAAUCCCUCAGCUUAACUGGGGAACUGCGUCUGAUACUGGAUGGCUUGAGUUUGGGAGAGGGAUGCGGAAUUCCAGGUGUAGCGGUGAAAUGCGUAGAUAUCUGGAGGAACACCGGUGGCGAAGGCGGCAUCCUGGACCAACACUGACACUGAGGAGCGAAAGCCAGGGGAGCAAACGGG